rnacentral:rRNA from 1 species
GACGAACGCUGGCGGCAUGCCUGAUACAUGCAAGUCGAGCGAACAGAUGGAGUGCUUGCACUUCUGACGUUAGCGGCGAACGGGUGAGUAACACGUAAGGAAUCUACCUAUAAGCGGGGGAUAACAUUCGGAAACGGGUGCUAAUACCGCAUAAUAUCUUCUUCCGCAUGGAAGAAGAUUGAAAGACGGCUCUGCUGGCACUUAUAGAUGACCUUGCGGUGCAUUAGUUAGUUGGUGGGGUAACGGCCUACCAAGACGAUGAGGCAUAGCCGACCUGAGAGGGUGGUCGACGACAUUGGGACUGGAACACGGCCCAAACUCCUACGGGAGGCAGCAGUAGGGAACCUUCCGCAAUGGGCGAAAGCCUGACGGAGCAAUGCCGCGUGAGUGAAGAAGGCCUUCGGGUCGUAAAACUCUGUUAUAAGAGAAGAACAAAUUGUAGAGUAACUGCUACAGUCUUGACGGUAUCUUAUCAGAAAGCCACGGCUAACUACGUGCCAGCCGCCGCCGUAA